rnacentral:rRNA from 1 species
GUGAGGAAUAUUGGUCAAUGGGCGGGAGCCUGAACCAGCCAAGUCGCGUGAAGGAAGAAGGAUCUAUGGUUCGUAAACUUCUUUUGCAGGGGAAUAAAGUGCAGGACGUGUCCUGUUUUGUAUGUACCCUGAGAAUAAGGAUCGGCUAACUCCGUGCCAGCAGCCGCGGUAAUACGGAGGAUCCGAGCGUUAUCCGGAUUUAUUGGGUUUAAAGGGUGCGUAGGUGGUUUGAUAAGUCAGCGGUGAAAGUUUGCAGCUUAACUGGAAAAAGGCCGUUGAAACUGUCGGACUUGAGUGUAAAUGAGGUAGGCGGAAUGCGUGGUGUAGCGGUGAAAUGCAUAGAUAUCACGCAGAACUCCGAUUGCGAAGGCAGCUUACUAAGCUACAACUGACACUGAAGCACGAAAGCGUGGGGAUCAAACAGGAUUAGAAACCCCGGUAGUCC